GAUGAACGCUAGCGGCAGGCUUAACACAUGCAAGUCGAGGGGUAGAGGAAGCUUGCUUCCUUGAGACCGGCGCACGGGUGCGUAACGCGUAUGCAACCUACCUUUUACAGAGGGAUAGCCCAGAGAAAUUUGGAUUAAUACCUCAUAGUAUAUAGUCUUCGCAUGUUGACUAUAUUAAAGUUCCAACGGUAAAAGAUGGGCAUGCGUCCUAUUAGCUAGAUGGUAAGGUAACGGCUUACCAUGGCAACGAUAGGUAGGGGUCCUGAGAGGGAGAUCCCCCACACUGGUACUGAAGCACGGACCAGACUCCUACGGGAGGCAGCAGUGAGGAAUAUUGGACAAUGGGCGCAAGCCUGAUCCAGCCAUGCCGCGUGCAGGAAGAAGCAUCUAUGGUGUGUAAACUGCUUUUGUACAGGAAGAAACACUCCCUCGUGAGGGAGCUUGACGGUACUGUAAGAAUAAGGAUCGGCUAACUCCGUGCCAGCCGCCGCCGUAACAC
rnacentral:rRNA from 1 species